rnacentral:tRNA from 1 species
CUCCUCGCUAAGAAGCUACAGGAUACAGCAACAGCCUUUUAAGCUGAAGACAGGUGACUUCCACCCACCCUUAACGA